AUUGUUGGAAUGCCACACAGGGAUAUCCUUUAUUCAUUAUAAAAACCAGUCACAGUAUUUGUAUACUAAUUUAAAAUCCGUAUUUGUUAAAUGUAAACCUAAUGAAGUUUGCUCUAGUGUAGAUCAUUCACACACCAACAUGCAAUGCUUUAAUCUGAGGCUAUAAUCAGAUAAUUUGUAGGUCAACUUUCGCGGUAAACAAUGUCAAUGGGAAUACAUGAGAUUGGAGAGAGAAACGACAGUUUUCAUUGUUUCUGUAAAGUUCUGUUUUUAGAAUCUUCCUCCAAUUCAGGAGCACCUCCAUUGAUGAGUAAUUAUACACUAAAAUCAAAGUAAAUGUUUCUGAACACUUAAAAUGUGACAUUUUUUGUAUAUGAUAAGUAGUCUUCUAUAUAAAAAAAAUUUUGUGUACCAACAUAAUUAUUGAAAUGGUUAAGAAAAAAAAUUAAAAAAAAAUUAAAUGUUGCUUUUUGUAGUUUAUACCUAUUGAGAUUGGGGAGAGCAACUGCAGUUUUCAUUCUUUCUGUAAAGUUAUGUUUUUAGAAUCUUUCUCCAAUUAAGGAGCACCUCAAUUGAUGAGUAAUUACCCACUAAAAUGAAAGUUAAUGUAUCUGAACACUAAACAUGUCACAUUAAGUAUAUAUAUGAUAAGAAGUCAUCAAUUAAAAAAUAAUUUUGCGUACCAACAUAAUUAUUGUAGUGGCCAUUUUUUUUUCAUUUUUUUUUAAAUAUUGCUUUUUGUAGUUUAAAGCUAUUUAUUCAUGAAUUUUACAGAUAUAUCAAAAUGUGGGAUCUGGAAACAAACUUCACACAGCUUAUAUCAAUCAUAUUUGAUUUUAUAAGUACAUGUAUCCCUGUGAUGAGAGUUGUAACUGGGAACUUUAUCAAUGGAAAAUUAAAACUGAAUAGAUUUUUCAGUCCUCACUUUCUUGAGAAUACUGUCACAAAAAAUUGAGAAUGGUCUUAGCCUGCCGUUCAGUUGUACAUAAUUAAAAUUCUAAAAUAUAUUGUAGUAGUUGUUAAAUUCAAUUUGAAUUUUAGAUAAUUAAUCCCAACUUUAAUCAAAUGUUUUGAUUUAGAAGGUGCAGAUCUCAUUGGUCCAAAUUGUCUCUAUGAUGAAUUCUUGACUAAGGAAAUGAAAUAACAAUAAAC
rnacentral:lncRNA from 1 species